AUGGGAAGAGGAACUGAGAUGGUGAAGCUGUGCGUGUCUGUCUGUUGGCUGGAAAACAGAGCCCAGCACUGGCUCUGCUCAAGGAGAGCUCUGUACUGCUCCAGAGCUCCCUUCAGCAUGGGACUGUGUAUGACUGGCCCCUUUGCUCAGAAGUCCAGCAGGCAGUUUGCAGAGAGGUCAGAGCACUGAUAGGUUCCACCGCUCUAAUCUGUGAGGUCCCUCCAUCAUUUUCAAGUGUCCUCCAUUUCUGGUUUUUGGACAGGAGCAAUUGAUGAGGAAAUGUGGCUUGAGCACAGGAUGAAGCAAUUUUAUUAAAGAAGAAUACUCCCUCAUGGAAAGUAUUUCUUGUGUGUUAAAGCUCUUGGCAUAAAUUGAUUAUAAUGCAUCAGUCUGUCAUAUGGCACUAAACAAUUUGCAUUUAAAUGUCCCUUGAAACAUAUGCCUUCCUCUGGGAGGGUUUGAUCCAGAAUCCAGCACAGCAAAAUGGAAACUAUGUCAUGGACUUCACCUGGAUCCUUUUAUUGAUGCAGUAGUGCAAGUUGAUCUGAACUUUCAGGCAGCCGCAGUCCAGAAAAAAUGGAUAUCAGGGCUGUAGGGCUGAGAAGGCUGUUUGGACUCAGUCUUGCAGGGAUAACUGUGUUGGCAGGCCCUGGGAUGAGUGAUGAGCUUAACCACUGCUGACUUUCCAAGAGAUGGCAUGUCCCACAUUAACCUAUGCCUACCGUGGUGAAGAAGAGUGUGCGUGGGUUGAUGACCUUCACCCUUUGAAGAAAUUGGCUCCUUCUGUGCAGAAUCCCAGGCAGUGGCAGAAGAAAUGGAAAAGAUGAGACCCAGCCCUCACAAGCUUGUCUUGAUGUUACUGGAGACAAAGUUAAAACCAGUGACUGAAGAUUUCAGUGAGCUAUGGAGCAGGUCACCAAGCAGGCUGUCCUGCAGGCAAGGAAUUGGGAAGCAGAUGCUGUAGCGCACUGGCAAUGCAGAGGUCAUGGCAGGGUGCUGACUGUGCGGAGGGAGAGAAGAGGCUCUGCUGAGCAAGGUGCAUCAGGGACAAAGAACCGUGACUCCAGCUCCGGUAGGAGUCUGUAGUUCCCUCCCCUCCAGCUGGCUGCCCUGGGAGCUAUGAAUCCUCACGUUGGUCUCUCAGUCUCCUAGUCUCUCAGUGCCAGGACUUGGCUUGCUCCAAUGCCUUUAG
rnacentral:lncRNA from 1 species